rnacentral:pre_miRNA from 1 species
AGAAGGACGUGGACGUGGAUGCCGAUAAGAAGGAGCCGUAAGGUACCGGGCGUGGGGAGGGCAGGGGCAGGGACGGGGAUCAGGGGCAGCUGAUCCCCGUCCCUGCCCCUGCCCUCCCCGCGCCCGGUACCUUACGGCUCCUUCUUAUCGGCACAGGGUUUCCGGGCUCUGG